GAUCAUGGCUCAGAUUGAACGCUGGCGGCAGGCCUAACACAUGCAAGUCGAACGGUAACAGGGAUCAGCUUGCUGAUUCGCUGACGAGUGGCGGACGGGUGAGUAAUGUCUGGGAAACUGCCUGAUGGAGGGGGAUAACUACUGGAAACGGUAGCUAAUACCGCAUAACGUCGCAAGACCAAAGAGGGGGACCUCGGCGUCUUGUCCACUCGGAGUGUGCCACGAUGGGAGUUAGU
rnacentral:rRNA from 1 species